GACUUAAGGUACUUGUCAAAGUAUCUGCUUCUUUUUUAACAUGUUAUGAUGUGAGCGAGAGAACUGAAGACCAGUUUACUAUAACUUGCCUUGGGAUAAUUGUCAAAAUAUUUCUUUCUAUUUCAUCAUAACACUCUAUGAACUAUUAUGAUCAGAGCGAGGAAAUCGACGACU